AAGCACCCUGAAAACAUUCCAGAAAUUUCAGCAAAUUUCUGUGGUCAAAGCCUGAGGAGAGACAGGGAAGACACAAGCCCACACGCAAGGAGAGCCUUUCAGAGCAGGAGGCCUCCACUCAGGGAAGCUCCUGACAAGGCCUGUCGCUGUCUUCUGUUCCUGUCUGUGCUCGUCUUCCUGCAGAUCUACACAGAGGAGCCACACACCUGCACAGUGGUUGAGAGCCAAUGCCCAGAUCCAGCAGUGUGUCAACUUGAGGCUGGUGAUGGGAGCCUAGGCACAUCCCAAGGAUGGACAGCGGAGGAGCCCUGGAGGAUUCAAACAGUGGAUCGAGGAUCAGAGACACAGGUGGAGUGUGUGGUGGCAUGAUGGAGGACAAAGACACUAAAUGCGAACUGAGUGAAUGAGAAAAGGGUAAAAGAGAGGAAUAGCCACACAGAUAAGGUUAAGUUCGAAUACUGUGUGGAGAUGGUUUCCUCUGAAAAAACAUUUCUAGUUUGAUUGGGGAUGGACAGUGGUGGUUUCCAAAGAAUGUGCUCCACCUGUUCUGCCACUGCCACUUAGAUGACACUCCAGCUCUACAAGAGCAGUUAUGUGGGACAGUGAAACGUGGAUGAGUACA
ensembl:lncRNA